rnacentral:misc_RNA from 1 species
AAACAAACCAAAUUGAAUCAGCCAAACCCUAACCAGAAAUCAAACCUCAAAUCAAACCACCCACAUUUUAGAACCCUAAGAAAACAGGAUUGAGCUCUUAACAGAAACACAACUGCCGUCCACUGCCACUGCUUGCCACCAUUAAAGGAGCUGAAGAAAAAUUGAAGCCAAAUACCAUUAGCAACUACGGAGAAACAAAGUCGCCAAUCCAAGCACAUCUAUCCAUCCACAACAAAGCAAACUUCACAGAAACUCAUCAAAGCAAGAAAACCCAGCUCAACUCUGGCAAAAAGGAGUUGCUGUAAAGCUCUCUGUCACUCUAAGCUACUAGGAAGGCCUUCCCAACCGUGGUGUAGAAGCAUUUCCUAAAUAUGCAAAAACAACCAAAUCGCAAGGAAACCCCUCAUCAUGCAGAAGCCAAUCCUCAGACCCAAGAGACGACAACAUCUAAAUGUCUCCAAUUUACUAUCAACCAUCAUCAUUUCUAUUCCAAACUAGAGAUCUCAACCAAAAUAAACAUACAAGCACCGCAAAAGAAGCCUUUUCAAUAAAGAUCUUCCUGCAUGCAUCUCAACCAAACACAAACCCACAAAUUAUAUACAUCCUAACCUAGCCAGGGG